rnacentral:rRNA from 1 species
UACGAAGGGUGCAAGCGUGACUCGGAAUUACUGGGCGUAAAGGGUGCGUAGGUGGUUUGUUAAGUCCGCUGUGAAAUCCCCGGGCUCAACCUGGGAAUGGCAGUGGAUACUGGCAAGCUAGAGUGCGGUAGAGGGUAGUGGAAUUCCCGGUGUAGCAGUGAAAUGCGUAGAGAUCGGGAGGAACACCAGUGGCGAAGGCGGCUACCUGGACCAGCACUGACACUGAAGCACGAAAGCGUGGGGAGCAAACAGG